rnacentral:rRNA from 1 species
ACAGCAGUCGCCACGGGAAUACGGAGGGUGCAAGCGUUAAUCGGAAUUACUGGGCGUAAAGCGCACGCAGGCGGUCUGACAAGUCAGAUGUGAAAUCCCCGGGCUUAACCUGGGAACUGCAUUUGAAACUGUCAGGCUGGAGUCUUGUAGAGGGGGGUGGAAUUCCAGGUGUAGCGGUGAAAUGCGUAGAGAUCUGGAGGAAUACCGGUGGCGAAGGCGGCCCCCUGGACAAAGACUGACGCUCAGGUGCGAAAGCGUGGGGAGCAAACAGGAUUAGAUACCCCUGUAGUCCCUGUCUCUUAUAC